GAUGAACGCUAGCGAUAGGCUUAACACAUGCAAGUCGAGGGGCAGCAUGGUCUUAGCUUGCUAAGACUGAUGGCGACCGGCGCACGGGUGCGUAACGCGUAUGCAACUUGCCUCACAGAGGGGGAUAACCCGUCGAAAGACGGACUAAUACCGCGUACACUUGGGAUAGGGCAUCCUGACCCAAGGAAAUGAAAUUCGCUGUGAGAUAGGCAUGCGUCCCAUUAGCUAGUUGGUGAGGUAACGGCUCACCAAGGCGACGAUGGGUAGGGGAACUGAGAGGUUGAACCCACACACUGGUACUGAGACACGGACCAGACUCCUACGGGAGGCAGCAGUGAGGAAUAUUGGUCAAUGGGCGAGAGCCUGAACCAGCCAAGUCGCGUGAAGGAUGACUGUCUUAUGGAUUGUAAACUUCUUUUAUACGGGAAUAACAAGAGCCACGUGUGGCUCCCUGCAUGUACCGUAUGAAUAAGCAUCGGCUAACUCCGUG
rnacentral:rRNA from 1 species